rnacentral:lncRNA from 1 species
GGCAGGCCUCCUGCUUUAGGCCUACCCGGCCUGCACGAGCCUCCCACUCCCCUCAGAUUGUCCACCCGCCCGUAGCCACUGCGGCCCUCACCUUGCCUACGAGACCGGCCUUACCUCUCCCAGUCAAGCCUGCCUAAAUCGGGCAAAGCCGGGCGCCGCCGACGGUGAGGACCAAAGAAUAUUCACCACCUUCACAGUCCGGCUGCUCCUACUGCAGCCCAGCGCGCACAGCAACUCCCAGCAUGCACGGCGACCGGCCGGCUUCGGCGGCCCCGCCCCGGCUCCGCCCCACCACGUGACCUGCUUUCGGGUCGGUCCCCGCCUACUUCCGUCCCUCCGCUCUCCCGGAGGAGGGAGGAGGCAGCUGGGGCUGCUCAAGAGUAGCAACUUCCUCCCUCUUCCCGCCCCCGCCCGGCUACCCCCUGCUUACAAUGGCUUCCGGGUCGCCAGCGCCUUGGAGCCUUCUGGGAAAACCAUCUCAUUUCCUCCCCUCCCCCUCCUCCUUGCCGUCCACCAACCAGCCUCCCGUCAGAACGGGACAUGCGCAAUAACUUCUACAAGAACCUGUGUAUUGGAUCCUAACUAAAUCAAAAUGUUUGAAAUCAGAAGAUCAUGAUCGGUGAGUGGCAUUUCUCAAUUUACUGUUUUCUGGAUGUGACAGUGUAGAAAGAAUGUCUGGGUUGUUGGUAUAGUAUAUUGACAUGGUUACUGGAUUCCAGUGUUUUGAAUAG